AGAGAGAGACAUGCGCGCAUAUCAAUAAGCGGAGGAAAAGAAACUAACUAGGAUUCCCUCAGUAACGGCGAGUGAAGCGGGAAGAGCUCAAAUUUGAAAUCUUAAAGGGUUUCCCUUGACGAAUUGUAGUUUAAAGAAGUGUUUUCUGUUGGAGUUUUGGUAAAAGUUCUUUGGAAUAGGACAUCAUAGAGGGUGAGAAUCCCGUAUUUGACCAUUAUCUUCCAGCUUUGUGAUACACUUUCAAAGAGUCGGAUUGUUUGGGAAUGCAGUCCAAAAUGGGUGGUAAAUUUCAUCUAAAGCUAAAUAUUGGCGAGAGACCGAUAGCGAACAAGUACCGUGAGGGAAAGAUGAAAAGAACUUUGAAAAGAGAGUUAAACAGUACGUGAAAUUGUCAAAAGGGAAGCGUUUGACACCAGUGUUGUUUUCUCGAAAAUCAAUUAAAAAUGGCCGGAUUUUGUGUUGUAUUGACUUUAUCAGCUUUCUGCACUUUUUUCUUGUCUUUUUUAAUGCACUUUUCGUUUAACAAGUCAACAUCAAUUUCUUUUGUUGUAAAAGGAGUCAUUGGAAGGUGGCUUUCCUUUCGGAGAAAGUGUUUAUAGCCUUUGGCUUCUGCAAUCGGAGAGAUUGAGGUCUGCAGCGUAGAUCCUUCGGGGUUAGAUACAUUUGUGCUAAGUUAUAGCCUUUCAUAGACAACUUGUUGACUAUGAUCAGUCAUGUAGCUUACUCGCUUAUGCUAUUUUACCUACGCUUAGGAUGUUGACAGCAGUAUAGACUGU
rnacentral:rRNA from 1 species